AUGGACAUGAGGGACAACGCUCAGGUCCUGGGGCUUCUGCUGCUCUGGUUCUCAGGUGUGAGAUGUGACACCCUAAUGACUCAGUCUCCAUCCUUGCUGUCUGCAUCUCUGGGAGACAAAGUUACCAUCACUUGCAAGGCCAGUGAGAACAUUGGUACUUUGUUAGCCUGGUAUCAGCAGAAACCAGGGGAAGCUCCUAAACUCUUGAUCUAUGGUGCAUCCAAUCUGGAAACUGGGAUCCCAUCAAGAUUCAGUGGCAGUAGAUCUGGUACAGAUUUCACGCUCAGCAUCAGCAGGCUGGAGCCUGACGGAAACUCAAGUUCAAGGCUCUGUGGCCCAGCUGCUCUGGUUGAUUUAUGCAACACCAGCAUUUCCAGGUGA